UGUAAUUGUGGUUGCAAAUUUGCAGGGAAUAAAAAAUUUAGGGGUACUUGAGAUGCAAAUUGCUUUUAUUAUUUUGUAUAUUUAUUGAGAUUGGUGGGAUUAUUGGAAAUUUGAAGUUUAGUUUUUGAGAAUGAGAUUUUUGGGUUGUGUUACUUUGAGAUGAAUUUUUGUGGAAAUUUAAUUCAAUUUAACAUGAUAAUUUGAUUUUUUCUAUUUUUCCUUCCUUUUAAUGAUAGAUUCCAGAAAUGAAUUUGUUGUCUACAGAUCCCUUAAUAUUGAUAUUGUGGAUUGUGGAUUAAGCCUAAUUAGUAAUUUACUUGUGAGUUAUCAGGAGUUCGUAUUAAUGUUUGUUUAUUCAGAGGUUUAAUUGGUUAUUUUGAGGCCUCUAAACAUGGAGGAUCUGAGGCAAGCAAAGAAUCAAGUAAUGAAUUGUAAAAUCCAAGAAUAUGAACUUGAAAAUUUAUUUCAAACACUAUAUAAAAUGUUAAAUCUUACAACUUUGCACUUCCUGUACUGCAGUUUCUGAUAGUUUUGCUUAUGAGGGUGCAGUACUGAACGAACUAAAGCAAUGGAAGGAGCUCUAUGGAGAAGGAGGGUCAAGAAAUGAGCAACUUACUUACUUCUUAUAGGAAGGUGGUAUGGAGAAGGCGGGUCAAGAAAGAAGGAUCAGUUGUAAGAGAACUCUGAGUCCUCUUUGGCAAUAGAUACAUAUCAUAAGGCACUGAAGGAAGCUUAUGUAAUUUGUAUUUCUUGUUAAACACUUUUGGUGGGCGAGUGGGAAAAAGCGAGUUUUAGAUAUAGAUGCAACGAGGGCUUACAUAUAUCUACUUAUACCGUAUUCUGUAUUAAGAGUUUGCUCAUGUUGUAUAAGAAAAAUAAAGCCUAAUUUAACUUACAAUUAA